GAGUGCUGUGACAGGCCUCAGCCUUCACGCCACUGGUGACUAUCUCCUGAGCUCCUCCGAUGAUCAGUACUGGGCUUUCUCUGACAUCCAGACAGGGCGUGUGCUCACCAAGGUGACAGAUGAGACCUCCGGCUGCUCUCUUACCUGUGCACAGUUCCACCCUGACGGACUCAUCUUUGGAACAGGAACCAUGGACUCUCAGAUCAAGAUCUGGGACUUGAAGGAACGUACUAAUGUGGCCAACUUCCCUGGCCACUCGGGCCCCAUCACUAGCAUUGCCUUCUCUGAGAAUGGUUACUACCUGGCUACAGCGGCUGAUGACUCCUCUGUCAAGCUCUGGGAUCUGCGCAAGCUUAAGAACUUUAAGACAUUGCAGCUGGAUAACAACUUUGAGGUAAAGUCACUGAUCUUCGACCAGAGUGGUACCUACCUGGCCCUUGGGGGCACAGAUGUCCAGAUCUACAUCUGCAAACAAUGGACGGAGAUUCUUCACUUUACAGGUAGAGGCUGGUCCUGGGCUCCUGGGGUCUCUCUAGGUGCCCAGGCCCGGAGGGAAGCCUCACUGGGUUAGGAAUUUCUAGGGCUUGCAUGAAUUUUUCUUAGCAGCUUUCGGUUACCAUCUGAGGCAGAGCUUUAUGACUAAGGAAGCAACUGAGUCAGACUGCAUGGCAGUAGAUGCUAGUGCUCGCUCUGCCACUUCCAUGCCCUGUGGCAUGGGGCAGGUUACUGAAGGGAGAGAAAACUCCCUCUGAAGGUUGGAUAACUGAAUCUAAAAUAAAUGAACAUUAGACAGUGA
rnacentral:sRNA from 1 species